GAUGAACGCUGGCGGCGUGCCUAAUACAUGCAAGUCGAGCGAACGGACGAGAAGCUUGCGUCUCUGAUGUUAGCGGCGGACGGGUGAGUAACACGUGGAUAACCUACCUAUAAGACUGGGAUAACUUCGGGAAACCGGAGCUAAUACCGGAUAAUAUUUUGAACCGCAUGGGUCAAAAGUGAAAGACGGUCUUGCUGUCACGUAUAGAGGGAUCCGCGCUGCAUUAGCUAGUUGGUAAGGUAACGGCUUACCAAGGCAAGGAUGCAUAGCCGACCUGAGAGGGUGAUCGGCGACACUGGAACUGAGACACGGUCCAGACUCCUACGGGAGGCAGCAGUAGGGAAUCUGCCGCAAAGGGCGAAAGCAUGACGGAGCAACGCCGCGUGAGUGAUGAAGGUCUUCGGAUCGUAAAACUCUGUUAUUAGGGAAGAACAUAUGUGUAAGUAACUGUGCACAUAUUGACGGUACCUAAUCAGAAAGCCACGGCUAACUACGUG
rnacentral:rRNA from 1 species